GUAAGGAAUAUUGGUCAAUGGAGGCAACUCUGAACCAGCCAUGCCGCGUGCAGGAAGACGGCCCUCUGGGUUGUAAACUGCUUUUACCCGGGAAUAAACCUGCCUUCGUGAAGGUAGCUGAAUGUACCGGAAGAAUAAGGAUCGGCUAACUCCGUGCCAGCAGCCGCGGUAAUACGGAGGAUCCAAGCGUUAUCCGGAUGUAUUGGGUUUAAAGGGUGCGUAGGCGGCCUGUUAAGUCAGGGGUGAAAGACGGUGGCUCAACCAUCGCAGUGCCCUUGAUACUGAUGGGCUUGAAUGGACUAGAGGUAGGCGGAAUGUGACAAGUAGCGGUGAAAUGCAUAGAUAUGUCACAGAACACCGAUUGCGAAGGCAGCUUACUAUGGUCCUAUUGACGCUGAGGCACGAAAGCGUGGGGAUCGAACAGGAUUAGAAACCCCGGUAGUCC
rnacentral:rRNA from 1 species